rnacentral:rRNA from 1 species
UACGAGUGCCCCGAGCGUUGUCCGGAAUCAUUGGGCGUAAAGCGCGCGUAGGCGGCCCGGUAAGUCCGCUGUAAAAGUCAAAGGCUCAACCUUUGAAUGCCGGUGGAUACUGUCGGGCUAGAGUCCGGAAGAGGCGAGUGGAAUUCCUGGUGUAGCGGUGGAAUGCGUAGAGAUCGGGAAGAACAUCGGUGGCGAAGGCGGUCUGCUGGGCCGUUGCUGACGCUGAGGCGCGACAGCGUGGGGGAGCAAACAGG